rnacentral:rRNA from 1 species
UGGGGAAUUUUGCGCAAUGGACGAAAGUCUGACGCAGCAACGCCGCGUGAUCGAUGAAGCUUCUAGGAGUGUAAAGAUCUGUCGUGAGGGAAGAAAAAUCUGGAUGUAAAUAAUGUUCAGACGUGACGGUACCUCACAAGAAAGCACCGGCUAACUUCGUGCCAGCAGCCGCGGUAAUACGAGGGGUGCUAGCGUUGUCCGGAAUUACUGGGCGUAAAGGGUUCGUAGGCGUCUUGCCAAGUUGAUCGUUACAGCCACCGGCUUAACCGGUGAUCUGCGAUCAAAACUGGCGAGAUAGAAUAUGUGAGGGGAAUGUGGAAUUCCUGGUGUAGCGGUGACAUGCGUAGAUAUCAGGAGGAACACCAAUGGCGAAGGCAGCAUUCUGGCACAAUAUUGACGCUGAGGAACGAAAGCGUGGGGAGCAAACAGG